CGUGUAGGCGGCGAUCUAAGUCGGGUGUGAAAUCCCUCGGCCCAACCGGGGAAUGGCAUUCGAUACUGGAUUGCUUGAGUGCGGUAGGGGCAAGUGGAACUCCAGGUGUAGCGGUGAAAUGCGUAGAUAUUUGGAGGAACGCCGGUGGCGAAAGCGACUUGCUGGACCGCAACUGACGCUGAGGCGCGAAAGCUAGGGGAGCAAACG
rnacentral:rRNA from 1 species